rnacentral:rRNA from 1 species
UUAAGUUAUUAAGGGCGCACGGUGGAUGCCUUGGCACUAGAAGCCGAUGAAGGACGUUACUAACGACGAUAUGCUUUGGGGAGCUGUAAGUAAGCUUUGAUCCAGAGAUUUCCGAAUGGGGAAACCCAGCAUGAGUUAUGUCAUGUUAUCGAUAUGUGAAUACAUAGCAUAUCAGAAGGCACACCCGGAGAACUGAAACAUCUUAGUACCCGGAGGAAGAGAAAGAAAAUUCGAUUCCCUUAGUAGCGGCGAGCGAAACGGGAAGAGCCCAAACCAAAAAGCUUGCUUGUUGGGGUUGUAGGACACUCUAUACGGAGUUACAAAGGACGACAUUAGACGAAUCAUCUGGAAAGAUGAAUCAAAGAAGGUAAUAAUCCUGUAGUCGAAAAUGUUGUCUCUCUUGAGUGGAUCCUGAGUACGACGGAGCACGUGAAAUUCCGUCGGAAUCUGGGAGGACCAUCUCCUAAGGCUAAAUACUCUCUAGUGACCGAUAGUGAACCAGUACCGUGAGGGAAAGGUGAAAAGCACCCCGGAAGGAGAGUGAAAUAGAACCUGAAACCGUGUGCUUACAAGUAGUCAGAGCCCGUUAAUGGGUGAUGGCGUGCCUUUUGUAGAAUGAACCGGCGAGUUACGAUUUGAUGCAAGGUUAAGCAGUAAAUGUGGAGCCGUAGCGAAAGCGAGUCUGAAUAGGGCGUUUAGUAUUUGGUCGUAGACCCGAAACCAGGUGAUCUACCCUUGGUCAGGUUGAAGUUCAGGUAACACUGAAUGGAGGACCGAACCGACUUACGUUGAAAAGUGAGCGGAUGAACUGAGGGUAGCGGAGAAAUUCCAAUCGAACCUGGAGAUAGCUGGUUCUCUCCGAAAUAGCUUUAGGGCUAGCCUCAAGUGAUGAUUAUUGGAGGUAGAGCACUGUUUGGACGAGGGGCCCCUCUCGGGUUACCGAAUUCAGACAAACUCCGAAUGCCAAUUAAUUUAACUUGGGAGUCAGAACAUGGGUGAUAAGGUCCGUGUUCGAAAGGGAAACAGCCCAGACCACCAGCUAAGGUCCCAAAAUAUAUGUUAAGUGGAAAAGGAUGUGGCGUUGCCCAGACAACUAGGAUGUUGGCUUAGAAGCAGCCAUCAUUUAAAGAGUGCGUAAUAGCUCACUAGUCGAGUGACACUGCGCCGAAAAUGUACCGGGGCUAAACAUAUUACCGAAGCUGUGGAUUGUCCUUUGGACAAUGGUAGGAGAGCGUUCUAAGGGCGUUGAAGCAUGAUCGUAAGGACAUGUGGAGCGCUUAGAAGUGAGAAUGCCGGUGUGAGUAGCGAAAGACGGGUGAGAAUCCCGUCCACCGAUUGACUAAGGUUUCCAGAGGAAGGCUCGUCCGCUCUGGGUUAGUCGGGUCCUAAGCUGAGGCCGACAGGCGUAGGCGAUGGAUAACAGGUUGAUAUUCCUGUACCACCUAUAAUCGUUUUAAUCGAUGGGGGGACGCAGUAGGAUAGGCGAAGCGUGCGAUUGGAUUGCACGUCUAAGCAGUAAGGCUGAGUAUUAGGCAAAUCCGGUACUCGUUAAGGCUGAGCUGUGAUGGGGAGAAGACAUUGUGUCUUCGAGUCGUUGAUUUCACACUGCCGAGAAAAGCCUCUAGAUAGAAAAUAGGUGCCCGUACCGCAAACCGACACAGGUAGUCAAGAUGAGAAUUCUAAGGUGAGCGAGCGAACUCUCGUUAAGGAACUCGGCAAAAUGACCCCGUAACUUCGGGAGAAGGGGUGCUCUUUAGGGUUAACGCCCAGAAGAGCCGCAGUGAAUAGGCCCAAGCGACUGAUUAUCAAAAACACAGGUCUCUGCUAAACCGUAAGGUGAUGUAUAGGGGCUGACGCCUGCCCGGUGCUGGAAGGUUAAGAGGAGUGGUUAGCUUCUGCGAAGCUACGAAUCGAAGCCCCAGUAAACGGCGGCCGUAACUAUAACGGUCCUAAGGUAGCGAAAUUCCUUGUCGGGUAAGUUCCGACCCGCACGAAAGGCGUAACGAUUUGGGCACUGUCUCAACGAGAGACUCGGUGAAAUCAUAGUACCUGUGAAGAUGCAGGUUACCCGCGACAGGACGGAAAGACCCCGUGGAGCUUUACUGUAGCCUGAUAUUGAAAUUCGGCACAGCUUGUACAGGAUAGGUAGGAGCCUUUGAAACGUGAGCGCUAGCUUACGUGGAGGCGCUGGUGGGAUACUACCCUAGCUGUGUUGGCUUUCUAACCCGCACCACUUAUCGUGGUGGGAGACAGUGUCAGGCGGGCAGUUUGACUGGGGCGGUCGCCUCCUAAAAGGUAACGGAGGCGCUCAAAGGUUCCCUCAGAAUGGUUGGAAAUCAUUCAUAGAGUGUAAAGGCAUAAGGGAGCUUGACUGCGAGACCUACAAGUCGAGCAGGGUCGAAAGACGGACUUAGUGAUCCGGUGGUUCCGCAUGGAAGGGCCAUCGCUCAACGGAUAAAAGCUACCCCGGGGAUAACAGGCUUAUCUCCCCCAAGAGUUCACAUCGACGGGGAGGUUUGGCACCUCGAUGUCGGCUCAUCGCAUCCUGGGGCUGUAGUCGGUCCCAAGGGUUGGGCUGUUCGCCCAUUAAAGCGGUACGCGAGCUGGGUUCAGAACGUCGUGAGACAGUUCGGUCCCUAUCCGUCGUGGGCGUAGGAAAUUUGAGAGGAGCUGUCCUUAGUACGAGAGGACCGGGAUGGACAUACCUCUGGUGUACCAGUUGUCGUGCCAACGGCAUAGCUGGGUAGCUAUGUGUGGACGGGAUAAGUGCUGAAAGCAUCUAAGCAUGAAGCCCCCCUCAAGAUGAGAUUUCCCAACUUCGGUUAUAAGAUCCCUCAAAGAUGAUGAGGUUAAUAGGUUCGAGGUGGAAGCAUGGUGACAUGUGGAGCUGACGAAUACUAAUCGAUCGAAGACUUAAUCAA